AAAGCAGCCGAUCAAAGCGCCCUGCUUAGAUCUUCUAUCAUUUAGGAAGAAACCACAUUGCAGCAAAAACAAUGGUAGUACAAAACUGUGUGUGAACAUGCAUGUCUCUAGCAUGUGCUAUGAGAGAGAGAGGAGAGAGAGAGAGCAAAGGUCAAAGCAAAGCAGUUGGUUGGUGUAGGAGCUGGUGUUAUAUCAGAGCUUGGUAUGGCGUAGGGGUAAUGAUUUUCGGUGAAGAAGAAACAACAAUAUCAGAAAGACAGAAACUCGUGAUUUCAGAAUUCUCUUU
rnacentral:misc_RNA from 1 species